UACGAAGGGGGCUAGCGUUGUUCGGAAUUACUGGGCGUAAAGCGCACGUAGGCGGGUCUGUAAGUAGGGGGUGAAAUCCCCAGGCUCAACCUGGGAACUGCCUUCUAGACUGGCAGUCUCGAGAUCAGGAGAGGCGAGUGGAAUUCCGAGUGUAGAGGUGAAAUUCGUAGAUAUUCGGAGGAACACCAGUGGCGAAGGCGACUCGCUGGACUGAUACUGACGCUGAGGUACGAAAGCGUGGGGAGCAAACAGG
rnacentral:rRNA from 1 species